ACUGUCAAGAUGAGUGAAUCUAAUGAAGAAAUUCGAUACAUUUUAAAUUUUACUACAAAAAGAUUCGACGGGUUAGACCAUUGCCCUACCUUCAACUGCUGGGAAGCAAUCACGCGUUUCGGUUUCAAGGUCGAAUAUAUAUUAUUUUAAUACAUAAGAGACCUCAACGAAUAUUUUAAGCUACGUGGAGGCAUUGACUUUGUGAUAACUGUGGACCUAAGCAUAAGAACUAUUUGUGCGCUCGUUAACUUAAUGGACCACACAGCUAGAGAUAAAUGGAUCGUGGAGGACGAAAUCAACGAGCCAACUUGUUGGGAAACAACAGACGUCACUGCCUUUCAGUAAUGGCCACCCAUGAAUAACACUUUUUCCGAUUACGAUAAUUAACUUUCGAAAUAUUUUAUCGAUGUUUAUUUUUCUAUUACUUUAUAAAGUUACUAUUAUUAUUAAAGAUAUAAUAGUGUGUAUAUUUACAAAAAAAAAAACAAAUAAUACUACAAACACGUGCCCUUUA